rnacentral:lncRNA from 1 species
CUUUUACACUGGUUGUCACAGCUGUUUAGAUCAAUUCAAAAUGUGAAAUUACAAACCCUGAAGACAAAGACAAGUGGUCAGCAAGUGGCCCAGAGGACAGGAGGCAGCGAGAGAUCCUGUCAAACACUCAGCUUUCCGGGAUCUGAUUUGCCUCUGGCUGCUGCUUCUAACCUUCAAACCACUACUGCGGUUUCCUUGUUCCCAAACGUCUCUCUCGGGCUGAGAGCUGUCCCUCCCCUCACCUGCGCAGCCCUCAGUUGUCUCCACAGCCUGAACAGGCCAGGCAAAGGAUUUAAAGGGUUCAGAAAUCAGCUGGAUACUCAAAGUGCUGUUUACUGAGAUGGGUGCCACCAUGUGGUGACUUUGAGAAUUGUCACAGAUCAACAAGUGGUUCAGUUCUUCAAACCUUGCCUUGAAGGAUUUGAAGUGCAUGUUAAAAACCUGAGAACAGUUGCAAGUCCAAUAAAAGACAAGAGAGGCAACAUUAAAAAGCAGAGUGUCAUUGUGGACUCCAGCAGGCCAUAGACAUCACCUGUAGAAUAUAGACAUAAUAGCAGGACCUAGUUCUGUGUUGCCUUUAGGUAGUUGAAUGAAGUUAAUAACAAAAUUCCUGUGCUCUGUCAAGAAUUGCUGUGGUACUUUAAGAGAAGAGAGCAUUCACAGUAGGAGGGGAGGAUACAUCAGUCCAAUUUGAAACACCUAAAGGCUUGUUAAAAAAGGCGCUAUAUUAAAUAA